UUCUUGAUAGAUGUGUGAAAUGUGUUUUCUUAUAGGGAAACGCACAGGGCGCAUAUCACACAUUUGUCGAAAAUGUGAUAUUUUCAGAAAUGUGUUCAGUGGACAGAAGCUAUUAGAAGCAAUCGUAGAAAAAACUUAUUAUAACAAUUGUGAUACAUAUUUUAAAAACUUCUGAUGUGAUGUAUUUUAUAUUUAUAAUUUUCAAUUAGUUAUAUUUCCGGUUGGCUCAAAAAUAUGUAUUUGAUACAAUUACAUUUGAAACAUGUAAUUGAUAUUUAUAAUAUUCAAUUAGUUACAUACAUAUAUUGCCGGCUGGUUCAAAACCAUGUACAAAACUGCUUACACAUCAUCUGUAGCGAACGCACUUACAGUAUAUGUAAAUACACUACUGCAAAUACAAGCAACAUAAAUAAACCAAUUAUUGGAUGCCAUUUUAUUGCAAAAUUGAAAACCCAAAGGUGCAGUUUACUGCAUUCUCUGUGGUGUCGGAACGAGAGAGGGCUAUCGGUUGUGUGCCUGGUUUGUUCAGAGUGGAUACAGGCGAGCUGUGGUUCCCUGGACAUUCAAAUGAUGCUAUUGCUCAUAUGGGCAGUGUCCGCAUAUAGCCUUUAGCUGCCCAAAACGAAGGGGAGUUUUACUCAAUUUUCGAUAGAACCAACGUGAUCCAAGUAUUUAUUACUUGUUAAAUUUAAAAAUAAAUAGUGCGAGAAAAAACUUAAGUAAAUUGCAUUGCAGAAAACAAAAUCUUAAAAAUAUAUACAAAAUUGAAACCAACCACCAUUACUGCUGGCUUGUGCCGAAAAACAAAAAUUGUGAAUUAUAUUGUUGGGUUUAGUAGGCUAAUUGUAAAUAUUGUUACGAGCAGUUAAGUUUAGUUUGAUUUGCUUUUAUUAGUAGCAUUAUUAAUACAACGUCGAUGUUAUUAAAAUUCGUCGCAUGGUAAUCGGUAGACGGUCAUUUAAUUGGGGUGGAGAAGGAAUCAGUGCAGGAGGGCGGCAUUUAUGUCCGCGGGGUUCAUUUAAAUAUGAAGGGCAUCUUCCGUAAGGCUGUAAGAGAGCCACUCCGAAACCGAUUGUGCUGAACUAGAAAGAGGUGCCGGCCGCUAAAAACGAUAAGAGGCUGCAGCAAUAAGAAGCUCUAUCGUCGACCAAAAUUUACGUUUUAGGAGAUUAACAUGGAGGAAAAAAUCGGAUGGAGGCUGUGACAGCUCCGUCGUAUACUCUUCCGGCUUUGCAACGCUGCUCAGUAAAUAUGUAAGCUGACAGAUAAUGACAUUUUGGAAAACAUCCUGAACCAUCUCCGUUUCAUAAAAAACUCCGCCGAGAUCUCUGUUCCGUUGAGCGAAACCCUGUAUAAACGAACUAGAAUGUUUGUGCUGAACGAUGAAGCCUUGGUUGUAGUGGUUGGUUCAUGCCGAUUUCAGAAGGGAAUUUUGGAUCCAGUGUUAAUCCCAAGAUGCGCAUGCAUUAAUUCUAUGCGACCAUAUGCUAAUAUUAAUACUAUUAUCUUUCAAUAAUUUUCGUGUCGGUUCCACUGUGUCCAGUAUUGUUUAAUACCUAGUGUUUUAUUUUACUAAUAAAGAGACUUUUAUAUUUCUAUUAUUUCCAAAGACUUACUUCUAACCGUUUGCAGUGUAUUUUAAGAGAGGAGAGUCUCUUUUGCUGAUUGGGAGAGCGAACUUCUUCCCUUUUGCGAGUUACGUUUGGCGGGAAUUCUAUUUUAGCGUAAUGCUUCACAUUGACAUAUUUUGGACCGACAAGAAACAUUUUCUGACAUGCAUCGAAAUAUGUUCGAAAUUUGGAAUGUUUCCUGUAGGUUAUUAGACGUACAAAUCCCUAUCGUCCAGCUUAUGAACUUUCCCGAAACUAAAAUUAUAUGCUGCGAUAAUUAGGCAUUCUUUAACCUCGAAUCAUCUCCUCUUUGUUGAAAAAGAGGUAUGGAGUAGAUGUUAUAAACGCGCCACCGCUGCACAGUUCCCUUAACGGCAAAGUAACCGCUAGAAAUAAUACGAGCACCUACUGAUGAAUUCAGGGAACCGAUCAGAUGUAAAAUCGAUAGGUAUCAACAGAUUCAGUUUGAGAGAAACAGAACCAAAAAGCAGAAAAGGGUAUUUGAUGUAGGAGAUAAGAUUUUUGCCAAGACCCACAGAGGCUAGGGAACAAACUAACCCCCUUGUGCGGAAACUCUCCAUUCAUAACUUGCAACGGUUUUUCAUUAACAGGAGGGUGGACCGUAAGGACAACCUAAUAUACCAUAUUUUCUUUUUAGGCUAGACAGCACUUUAAUCAGCAUUCUAAUUUAGGUUACUCAAUUUUUACAGGCUCAUGGGUAUACUCUUCACCUUACUGGACAUAGCAAAAGAUCAAAUCACCGAAUACUACCCUGCCCAUUACAUUCCCGUUUUAGACGGCAAUGGGAACAGUAUAGCUAUGUAAAACAUUUUGCAAGUAUUGAUAGAUAGCUAUAGAACAUAUUCGAAAUCUCUUGUCCUUAUUGAAAGUACACCAUCGACCAAAAUUAAAAAAGCUAGAAUGGGUGAUUUUUUUACACUAUCCCAUUUAUAAGAGGCGCAUUUGACCAGAAAUAGAAUACAAACUACACUCGGCAAGUCAAAAAUUAUAAAUCCCACCAUUUUCAAUCAUAUUGAUUUGGAGUCAAUUUUCUCUAAGCAACUGACAAAAGUCCUAAUACUAGUUAAUGGAAGGUACCUGAAAUAAGUGUUUCUACUAAUAAAAUAUCCCAAAGUUAAAUAUA